UGGUAAGUUGGAAAGUUCUCAUGUUGUGGUUUAUUUUUAUUUUAUUUUUAAAAAAAACUAUAGUAUGAAUUUUGAUUUUUGACCUCUAUAUGAUUACCAAAUAUAAACUGGUAGUUUUUGUUUUUCAAUUUAAAGUUUCAUAUCCCAAAAUCUGACAACCUGAUGCGAAAAAUUACUUGACACACAAAUUAAACCCUCUUUUUGACAAUUGUAGUAUAGAUGUAAGUAGGGUAUCGUUCUAGGCCGGGGAUUAGGAGGGAUUGCUAAUCUAUUCUAAAUUAAUUUAAAAAUAUUAAAUAAGACUCAAGGACACAAAACUAGGCUAAAAACUCUAAUAACUCGAAACACACUUAGAAUGACUCAAAAUAAUGGAAACAAUCAAUUUAGACACUAGGAACUGAAAUGGACGGAAAUUGAAUUAAAAGACUAACAACAAUGAACACUAACUAAAUAAUAUAAUUUAAUAAUGGGGGGGGUUUGGUUUUGACGAGAAGUAAAUUAAACUUAAAUAAAUUACAGAAUUGACAAAAGCAUGAAUUAAGGUGAAAUGAUAGGUGACGGACUAGCUAGAGGGUUCUUCUCCACACAUGACACAUAUGCAACGUAAAUUGAUUUUCAGUUGUUCUUUCAAUAAAUUGUGAAUGACAAUGUUCCAAGUUAAUUAGGUCCGCUUAAAUUAACUCUUAGAUUUCCCUAGAUUCAUUGGAUUGAAUGGAAUACGCAUUACAACCAAAUUAUUCCUCAUCAAAGUCUCUAACUAUGGAAUACGCAUGAUAGAGACAUUCAACAAAGAUCAUUAAGUUCAACGGAAAUCAUAAACAUUGACUAGGCAUUCAUAACUAUGGAAUACGCAUGUUAAUCCAGCCUAGAAUUUACUUAACGUGAUUGUGACUAGCAACCUUCACUACUUAUGAAUAUAAGUUCAUAACGAUUAGGUGAAAUUCACUUAUAUUCUAGCAUCAAAUUCAUGCAUGUAAAUUAAGCAUGCAUUCUUAAUCGACAUACAAAAAUAAGUUAUCAAUCAAGCAGUUAAGCAAAUUAAAUCACAACUUAUAAAUCACAACUGAAGGUAAUCAAUUCAUAUUACAAAUAUAUUCAUGGCUUUGAAUUAACCUCUAGCCAAAAUAAAUUUAGUUACACAUUAUUAUCAAAUUAAACCAAAAGUAAAACAUGGGUUUGAGAAGAUAAAACCAAGAAAAAUGGAGUGAAACUUUGCUCUGCCCUGCUCCCGUCAGCCUCUGACUUCUCUCUGCCCUCUGCGCCUUCACUUCAUUUCUCCCUGUCAGUCGCCCUUCUCUCUCUUUCUCCUGUUUUCUUCUUUCCGCUGGUCUCUCUUCUUCGUUCGCCUCUCUCCCCGCUGCCCUAUUUCUGCUGUCUCCCCGAGGCUCACGCUGACCUCUCCUUUUUAUUUUCUUUUUCUGCUUUUCAGAGCUGCCAGGGCAGCUCAGUUGCUUCUGCUGUGCUCGGUCUGUCCUAUGCUUUCCGUCCCAUUUCUUUUAUUUUCUCCACCAUUCCGUGUCUGCCAUGAGUCCUACGCACUGACCUCCUUCUCCUUUUGCAUUGCCGUGCUUCUCUCUUUGCCUUUCCUUUUUGUUCUAUUUUAUGUUUUUCUGCCAUCCACUAUUCUUUGUUUUAUUUCUUUUUCUUUUUGCUAUGCCGCACUCCCUUCUUCUUUUCCUUUGUUUAUUCUUCCAUCAGUCCAUUAUUUCUGUGAAAACAAUGCUAACACAAAAUUAACUGUACAUUAACACAAAGUAAGGUAAAAUGCCACAAUUUUAACACAAAAACAUCACAAAGACUUUAGAAAUUGAUGGUAUAAAUGCAUGAAAUAUAUAAGUGAUCACAACCAGUUGGUAAUGAGCUUAAAGAAUUUGUUCAAAGACCAAUGAGACAGAAACACUGUUGGAUGCAUUCCUUUGCUAGCAGGUCUUCGGCCCAUCACUGAUUGAAACAGGUUGAUGGUAGCUCAAUCACAAGAUAUUGAGUCACUGAAGCUUAGUUCCCAGACUCACUUUCCCCAUCACUGAUUGAAGUCUUCUAGAUGCUUUAAUUUCUGGCUAUGCUGUGAAUUACUCAUGUGACAGUGGAGCUUUGAUAUAGGAAGAUAUUGAGCAUAAACUGUUCCUAUAUAAUAAUAAGAUGUUUUCUGGUUUUGC
rnacentral:lncRNA from 1 species